GGUUCAGGACGAACGCUGGCGGCGUGCCUAAUACAUGCAAGUCGAACGGUCUUUCUAUGGAAGCUUGCUUCCACUGAGAAGAUAGUGGCGAACGGGUGAGUAACACGUGGGUAACCUGCCCAUAAGAGGGGGGAUAACAUCCGGAAACGGGUGCUAAUACCGCAUAGUUUUCUUGAUCACAUGAUUGAGAAAGGAAAGACGGCCUUUGUGCUGUCGCUUAUGGAUGGACCCGCGGCGUAUUAGUUAGUUGGUGAGGUAACGGCUCACCAAGACGGUGAUACGUAGCCGACCUGAGAGGGUGAUCGGCCACAUUGGGACUGAGACACGGCCCAAACUCCUACGGGAGGCAGCAGUAGGGAACCUUCCGCAAUGGACGAAAGUCUGACGGAGCAACGCCGCGUGAGUGAAGAAAGGUUUUCGGAUCGUAAAACUCUGUUGUCAGAGAAGAACAAGUUGGAGAGUAACUGCUCCAGCCUUGACGGUAUCUGACCAGAAAGCCACGGCUAACUACGUGCCAGCCGCCGC
rnacentral:rRNA from 1 species